rnacentral:rRNA from 1 species
UACAGAGGUCUCAAGCGUUGUUCGGAUUCAUUGGGCGUAAAGGGUGCGUAGGCGGCGCGGUAAGUUGGGUGUGAAAUCUCGGAGCUUAACUCCGAAACUGCAUUCGAUACUGCCGUGCUUGAGGACUGGAGAGGAGACUGGAAUUUACGGUGUAGCGGUGAAAUGCGUAGAUAUCGUAAGGAAGACCAGUGGCGAAGGCGGGUCUCUGGACAGUUCCUGACGCUGAGGCACGAAGGUCAGGGGAGCAAACAGG